rnacentral:rRNA from 1 species
CCUACGGGGGGCAGCAGUGGGGAAUUUUGGACAAUGGACGAAAGUCUGAUCCAGCAAUGCCGCGUGCAGGACGAAGGCCUUCGGGUUGUAAACUGCUUUUGUACGGAGCGAAAAAGUCUUUUUUAAUAAAGAGGGCUUAUGACGGUACCGUAAGAAUAAGCACCGGCUAACUACGUGCCAGCAGCCGCGGUAAUACGUAGGGUGCAAGCGUUAAUCGGAAUUACUGGGCGUAAAGCGUCCGCAGGCGGUUCUAUAAGACAGAUGUGAAAUCCCUGGGCUCAACCUAGGAACUGCAUUUGUGACUGUAGAGCUAGAGUACGGCAGAGGGGGAUGGAAUUCCGCGUGUAGCAGUGAAAUGCGUAGAUAUGCGGAGGAACACCGAUGGCGAAGGCAAUCCCCUGGGCCUGUACUGACGCUCAUGGACGAAAGCGUGGGGAGCAAACAGGAUUAGAUACCCCAGUAGUC